AACGUAUCUGGGGGUCCCCUUUUUAUAGACGAAGAGCAUAACCGAUUGACAGCGACGUCUGUAACCGUCUGGUAGUGGGCUGUUCAGAGCCGCACAGAGUUUGUUACGGAGAGUAGUGGCAUCAGGGGUCGUUCAGGGCCACGUGGAGUUUGUUAAGGAGAGUGGAGUGGUGCCCGUUGUCAUGACUUUCCAGAGAGUGAUAGAGCCCGGAGAGUGGAGUGGUAUCCAUUAUCGUGACUUGCCAGAG
rnacentral:lncRNA from 1 species